AGGCACAACUGGGGAACCCUCUGCGGAGGCUCCACUGUCACAACCUUCUGGUUCCUGCGCAGCACCUCUGGCGAGUCAUGGGGUCCAGUUCCAUGGCUGGAGGUGUAUAUUUAUAGGAAAACCGUAACAUUCCUUAUAUUGGGUCUGGCAAUCUCUGGAAGUUCCCGCAACCUCUGGGCACCCUGGAUAAGUGGUGGACAACAAUUUUCCUCAACACAGUGUUCUAGACCCUUCCUAGAAGAAUCUCCUCAAACAAUAUAUGCUACUUGGUAGAAGUCCAGACUCCUUGGAUCCAAUAAAGCUAUAUAACUCAGAAUGA